CUACGGGAGGCAGCAGUGAGGAAUAUUGCACAAUGGGGGGAACCCUGAUGCAGCAACGCCGCGUGGAGGAUGACGCAUUUCGGUGUGUAAACUCCUUUUAUAUGUCAAGAAAAUGACGGUAGCAUAUGAAUAAGCACCGGCUAACUCCGUGCCAGCAGCCGCGGUAAUACGGAGGGUGCAAGCGUUACUCGGAAUCACUGGGCGUAAAGGACGCGUAGGCGGGCUUGUAAGUCAGGUGUGAAAUCCUACAGCUUAACUGUAGAACUGCACUUGAAACUACGAGCCUAGAGUAUGGGAGGGGGAGAUGGAAUUAGUGGUGUAGGGGUAAGAUCCGUAGAUAUCACUAGGAAUACCUAAAGCGAAGGCGAUCUCCUGGAACAUAACUGACGCUAAGGCGUGAAAGCGUGGGGAGCAAACAGGAUUAGAUACCCGCGUAGUC
rnacentral:rRNA from 1 species